rnacentral:rRNA from 1 species
AUUGAACGCUGGCGGCAUGCUUUACACAUGCGAGUCGAACGGCAGCGCGGGCUUCGGCCUGGCGGCGAGUGGCGAACGGGUGAGUAAUUCAUCGGAACGUGCCCAGUAGUGGGGGAUAGCCCGGCGAAAGCCGGAUUAAUACCGCAUACGACCUGAGGGUGAAAGCGGGGGACCGAAAGGCCUCGCGCUAUUUGAGCGGCCGAUGUCGGAUUAGCUAGUUGGUGGGGUAAAGGCUUACCAAGGCGACGAUCCGUAGCUGGUCUGAGAGGACGACCAGCCACACUGGGACUGAGACACGGCCCAGACUCCUACGGGAGGCAGCAGUGGGGAAUUUUGGACAAUGGGGGCAACCCUGAUCCAGCCAUGCCGCGUGCGGGAAGAAGGCCUUCGGGUUGUAAACCGCUUUUGUUCGGGAAGAAAUCCUCUGGGCUAAUACCCCGGGGGGAUGACGGUACCGGAAGAAUAAGCACCGGCUAACUACGUG